rnacentral:lncRNA from 1 species
GCCUCUUCGUGACCCCCUGGGCCAGAGCACGCCAGGCCCUCCUGUCUUCCACUGCCUCCCGCAGUUUGGUCAAACUCAUGCUGGCAGCUUUGAGAACACUGUCCCACCAUCUCGUCCUCUGUCGUCCCCUUCUCCUUGUGCCCUCCAUCUUUCCCAGCAUCAGGGUCUUUUCCAGGGAGUCUUCUCUUCUCAUGAUGUGGCCAAAGUCUUGGAGCCUCAGCUUCAGGAUCUGUCCUUCCAGUGAGCACUCAGGGCUGAUUUCCUUCAGAAUGGAGAGGUUUGAUCUUCUCGCAGUCCAUGGGACUCUCAAGAGUCUCCUCCAGCACCAUAAGUCAAAAGCAUCCAUUCUUUGGUGAUCAGCCUUCUUGAUGGUCCAGCUCUCGCUUCCAUACAUCACUACUGGGAAAACCAUAGCUUUUGCUAUACGGACCUUUGUUGGCAAGGUGAUGUCUCUGCUGUCUCUAGAUAGCAUCUUAAAAAGUAGAGACCAAAAAAAAAGUAGCCCCCCCCCCUUCCUUGGAGGUUUUUAAACCAAGAUUGGAGGCUCAUCUGCCAGGGAUCCAUUAGCGGAGGUUCCUGCAUUGCAGUGGGUUGGACCAGAUGACCUUUGGGUGCCUUCAAACUCUGUAGUUUUAUGAUUCUAUGAUUCCUUGCACCGCACACACAACUCUUCCCCCCUUUUCUCGUCUCUCACUGUCAAGGGCACCAGAUACCUCCCGGGGCCGCGAGGAAGAGACCUCCUCGCUCUGUUGCCUUCCAGACCCGCCACUUAAACUUGUUCCAGGAGUCAGAGGCCUGACUUUAAUUGUUUUCCCGUUCUAUCGAUCCCUGCCCUCUUUUCCUCCCCUUCUCCUCCUCCUCCGAAUCAAUGGGCCUUUUCAAUUUGGGGACAGAGGAAAGGGUGGAGGUUGGCUGAAGAAUUACUUUUUUUUUCUUCUUUUUUUAACGAAGAGAGCGAAAGGUUUGGUGGUGGUGGGUGGAAAUAUCCCUCCAGUCUUUGAAAGAUUUCUGAUAUCGAUCCGCCGGGAAAGAGAAGCAGCAACCUUGUCGGAGAUCAAUUAACCAAAUCAUUAGCCGUGGUCAAAGAGGAGAAAUAUGAGUCUUGUUUGCGCCGCGGAGAAAGUGAAGAGGGAAGGGGGUUCACGGUGGCUCUCCUACUCAGGAGGAAGCCGUGCUGAGUCUGGCGGGGCUGACCCCCAAGUAGGGAGAAAGGUCUGCCCAGUUCCCAAACCAAUAUCCCAACCGAAAUCACAUAUGUAUUUAUUUAUUACCUGCGUAUCGGAUCCUUGAGAUCCCAAGGGGCUCCAGGUGUCAUGCCCAGUUCUCUUCUCGCCCCUCAUUUUAUCCCACAACAACCCUGUGAGGUGGGCAAGGCUGAGAGACUCUGACUGGCCCCCGGGGUCACCCCACAUGCUUGGUUGGACAGAUUUGAACUCUGAUCUCCCAGGUCCUUAGCCUGAUACUCUAACCCAGGCAUAGGCAAACUCUGGCCCUCCAGAUGUUUGGGACUACAAUUCCCAUCAUCCCUAGCUAACAGGACCAGUGGUCAGGGAUGAUGGGAAUCGUAGUCCCACGAAAGGAACGUCUUACCAGUUAGAUUCCUUAAUAAUCACGGGGUGAGAAAAACGAACACGUCUAUCUAGAAUGGCGGUGCUCCCAAUUAAGUCUUACUCCCCCUCCCUCUGUCCCUAUUAGUCUACUACAUCAUUCCUAUGUAUUGCAAUAUGAGCUUGUAACCUCUUUGCUUUCUGUUCUGGCGCUUUCUGAACUCUCCAUGUCUUUGGGGAAGGGGGGGUGAAUGCUGUCCUGAGACUGUGAAUCUGUUAAUAUAAUAAUAAUAAUAAUAAUAAUAAUAAUAAUAAUAAUAAUAAUUUAUUAUUUAUACCCCGCCCAUCUGGCUAAGUUUCCCCAGCCACUCUGGGCAGCUUCCAAUCGAGAGUUAAAAACAAUACAGCAUUAACCCUCUCUCUGCUAGUGUUUCUUCUGCUAGCUGUUUCGCCAUCCAGUAUUUCCUAGCUUCUGCCUUCUGAACUGUGCCCCUCUGCAAACCACUCUUCCAAAUCUAUACUGCCCUCCUGCUUCCUGGGAAGAUUCAGGAUCAGGAAGAAGGGGUGGCUCCCACCAAUCUUCCUCCGUGCAGCCCUCCUCAGAAUGGUCCCUGACAUCUGGCCAGAUGCUGUAGCCAUCACUGAAAGCAGGCUAGGCCUCUUGAGGAGCCUUCAUGGAAGAGGCGCAGUGUCUUCGGAAGAACCUAGAACCGCAAAGCCAGAUCAUUUGGUAUACGCUGUGCAUCUGUAAAAGCCUUGCUGAAAUGGGCGGAUGAUCUGAAGGAAACUGCAUGCACCUCCUCUCCAGAAUUGCAGCCCCAAAUCCUCUCCGGGAAACUACCGUAUUUUUUGCUUUAUAAGACUCACUUUUUCACUCCUAAAAAGUAAGGGGAAAUGUGUGUGCGUCUUAUGGAGCGAAUGCAGGCUGCACAGCUAUCCCAGAAGCCAGAACAGCAAGAGGGAUUGCUGCUUUCGCUGCGCAGCGAUCCCUCUUGCUGUUCUGGCUUCUGAGAUUCAGAAUAUUUUUUUUCUUGUUUUCCUCCUCCAAAAACUAGGUGCGUCUUGUGGUCUGGUGCGUCUUAUAGAGCGAAAAAUACUGUAAUUUGGGGUGAGUGGGAUGCGAGUGGAAUUUUGUAAUGAUGAAGGAGAGGGCCACAGAUCCGCUCUGCAUGCAGAUAGCAUCUUUAAGUAGGACUGGGAAUAUCCCCUGCCUGAAACGAUGGAGAGCAGCUGCCAGCCAGUGUAAACUGUACUGAGUAAGGAGGGGUCCAUGACCUGGCUUGGUAGAAAGCCAUUUCUGGUUCUUGGGUAUCAGUUUAAGUCAGAACAUGAGGAACAGAAGCUUAAUUUUAAGUAAAAGGACAGAGCUCAGCAGUAGAGCAGGAAGAAGUCCCUGGGUCCAGUAACCAAUGGCAUCUUCAGGUAGCGAUGGGAGAGAGACUUCCUGUCUGAAACCCUGUAAUCAUAGAAUUGUAGAGUUAGAAGGGACUACAAGGGUGGUGUUAUGGUCUAAACCACUGAGCCUCUUGGGCUUGCCAAUCGGAAGGUCGGGGGUUCGAAUCCCUGCGACGGGGUGAGCUCCUGGUCCCUGCUCCUACCAACCUAGCAGUUCGAAAGCACACCGGUGCAAGUAGAUAAAUAGGUACCACUCCAGCGGGAAGGGAAACAGCAUUUCCGUGUGCUCAGGUUUCUUUCACGGUGUCCCGUUGCACCAGAAGCAGUUUAGUCCUGCUGGCCACAUGACCCAGGAAGCUCUCUGUGGAUAAACGCCGGCUCCCUCGGCCUGAAAAAGAGAUGAGCGCUGCAACCCCAUAGUCGCCUUUGACUCGACUUAACCGUCCAGGGGUCCUUUGCCUAACAAGGGUCAUCUAGUCCAACCCCCUGCAGUACAGGAAUAUUGUUGUCUGACACAGGGCUCGAACCCACAACCCUGGGAUUGAGAUGACUCCUUGUUGCCCGUCAGCAUGGACAAGACUGAAACCAGAUGAACCAAAUGGUGGGAUGAGGUGGGCUCCCAUGAUCCUCUGGAAGGAACACGUAAAUUCGUCUUCUCUUGAAGGAUUUGCAUUAAACCAGGGGUCAGCAAACAUUUUCAGCAGGGGGCCAGUCUACUGUCCCUCAGACUUUGUGGGGGGCCGGACUAUAUUUUUUUUGGGGGGGGGAAAUGAACAAAUUCCUAUGCCCCACAAAUAACCCAGAGAUGCAUUUUAAUUAAAAGCACACAUUCUACUCAUGUAAAAACACGCAGAUUCCUGGACUGUACGCAGGCCGGACUGAGAAGGCGAUUGGGCCGGAUCCGGCCCCUGGGCCUUCGUUUGCCGACCCAUGCAUUAAACAAACGGGACCGCCUCUUCCUUUGAUUCUGCGCUUCCGGCCCAGAAGCCUGCCAGGCUUUGAUACCCCCCUCCUCCUCAAACCGGAUCUCACAAACCUUAAGCCUGCCCCGGGAAAGAGAAACUGGGGCACUCCGGCAGAGCCGUCCCGGAGACGAGCGAAACAAAUUACCUGCCUCUCCCCUCUCGCCUCCUCUCUGUUUAAGCCCGGUUAAUAGCAAAGUGUCCCCUGGUUUGAAACCCAAAUGGCAUUUCCACCCCCCCCUCCUCUCAGAGUUACAAUAACUGAGCUAUUACCCGCCCUAUUGAUGCUCUCUCCGUGCCGAACGGACUGGCUCAUCCCAAGCCGGCCGCCGAAAGCUCCUUCAGUCAAUAUCAGUUCUAUUUUUCAUUACUCCCUGGAAAUGUGGCGCUUGGAAGCUCAUCCGUCAUUCAAUUACACCCCGGUUCAGGCCUAUCAUACACGUGUCAUAAAGUUCCUCAGAUCUGAACCGCUGUUAAUUUUCUGCGCCGUCCCGAGGGGGUGCCCGGGACGUGAUCGGAAAGUAACGAGGCGAGUGGAGGGCAUGAUGGGUAAGGGGGAGGCGGCUAGGGAAUUGAGCGGCACUCGGGCUGGAGUGGUACACACACAGAGAGAGAGAGAGAGAGAGACAGCAUGUGGAGGAAAAGCUCGGCUCCAAACCAAAGCGCCGUUCAUUGCCGUCACCGUCUCUUCACCUCUGCAAAUUCGCUGCAUCAACACGAUGGAUGGGAUCGCUUUAGGCCAUCCACGGGCGCCCGUUUGCGCCACUUUGUUGUUGUUUAGUCAUUUAGUCGUGUCCGACUCUUCGUGACCCCCUGGACCAGAGCACACCAGGCACUCCUGUCUUCCACUGCCAGUUUGGUCAAACUCAUGCUGGUAGCUUCGAGAACACUGUCCCACCAUCUCGUCCUCUGUCGUCCCCUUCUCCUUGUGCCCUCCAUCUUUCCCAACAUCAGGGUCUUUUCCAGGGAGUCUUCUCUUCUCCUGAGGUGGCCAAAGUCUUGGAGCCUCAGCUUCAAGAUCUGUCCUUCCAGUGAGCACUCAGGGCUGAUUUCCUUCAGAAUGGAGAGGUUUGAUCUUCUUGCAGUCCAUGGGACUCUCAAGAGUCUCCUCCAGCACCAGAAUUCAAAAGCAUCCAUUCUUCAGCGAUCAGCCUUCUUUAUGGUCCAGCUCUCACUUCCAUACAUCACUACUGGGAAAACCAUG